GUUACAAAAAGUGUGGUUUCUACAUUUAUACAUUGUAGAAAUGUGAUGAUAAGCAUGACUGCCGUGUCUUACAGAUGUUUUCCCACUUUCCUAACAAUGUGCCACUGGACUCUGUGCAUUUUUUCACAGCUUGCACGAUUGAGGGUUUAUGUCUCACUUUUUUAAAAUCAUAUAUCUAUAUAAGUGAAUCAUCGUAUUAAUACAAUAAUUAUGGAAAAUAAUAGCUGCCCCAGCCAACCAAAUUAAAUACAAUAAGGAUACAUAGACCCUUUACAUUCAGCUGAUACAACAGAGAGAAAUAAAUCUCAA